rnacentral:rRNA from 1 species
UGGUGGUAGGCCUAACACAUGUAAGUCGAUGGGUAACANAAGGGAGCUCGCUCCUCGGACGGCCAGUGGCGGACGGGCGAGCAAUAUCUGGGAAUUCGCCUCGUAGAUGGGGAUAACAUUGAGAAACUGGCGCUAAUACCGGAUAAUAUGAAGAGUUGUAAGGGGGGGGCGUUGUGGCUCGCUGUCAUAGGAUGGCCUGUGUGGUACCAGCUAGCCGGUGAGGCAACGGCUCACUAAGGCGAUGAUCCGUAGCUGAUCUGAGAGGAUGACUGGUUACACUGGGACUGAGAUACGGUCUAGAUUCCUAUGGGAGGCAGUAGCGGGGAAUAUUGCACAACGGAUGAAAGCCUGAUGCAGCCAUGCCGCGCGUGUNAAGAANUUCUUCGGGUUGCAAAGUACUUUCACCAGGGAGGAAUAAGCAUUGUUUAAUACGGUGGCAUUCUGAUGUUAUUCACAGAAGAAGGACGGGCUAACUCAUUGCCUACAGUUGUGGUAAUACGCAGGCGGCAAGCGUUCAUUGGAAUUACCGGGCGUAAAUCGUUCGCAGGCGGUCUGUUAAGCCAGAUGUGAAAUCCCCGGGCUCAAUCUNGGAACNGCAUCUGNAACUGGCGGACUUCAGCCUNGUAGAGGGGGGUGGAAUUCCAGUUGUAGCGGUGAAAGCCAGCGUUUUUAACAAUUUUAAAGCCCGGGUUCACCUGGGAUGUCAUUUGAAUUGCCAGCUAAAUUUUGUAAGGGGGUAGAUUUCAGGUGUACGGUUAAAUUGGUAAAGUUCUGGAGGAAUACCGGUGCGAAGGCGGCCCCUUGGACGAAGACUGACGCUCAGGCACGAAAGCGUGGGGAGCAAACAGGAUUAGAUACCCUGGUAGUCCACGCCGUAACGAUGUCUACUCGGAGUUUGGCGUCUAGAACGCUGGGCUCUCAAGCUAACGCAUUAAGUAGACCGCCUGGGGAGUACGGCCGCAAGGUUAAAACUCAAAUGAAUUGACGGGGGCCCGCACAAGCGGUGGAGCAUGUGGUUUAAUUCGAUGCAACGCGAAGAACCUUACCUACUCUUGACAUCCAGAGAAUUUUCCAGAGAUGGAUUAGUGCCUUCGGGAACUCUGAGGCAGGUGCUGCAUGGCUGUCGUCAGCUCGUGUUGUGAAAUGUUGGGUUAAGUCCCGCAACGAGCGCAACCCUUAUCCUUACUUGCCAGCGGGUGAUGCCGGGAACUGUAGGGAGACUGCCGGUGAUAAACCGGAGGAAGGUGGGAACGACCCCCCAGUCAUCAUGGCCCUUACGAGUAGGGCUACAAAAAAGCUACNAUGGACAGUACAGAGGAAG